rnacentral:rRNA from 1 species
GAUGAACGCUGGCGGCGUGCUUAACACAUGCAAGUCGAACGGAAAGGCUCCUGCUUGCCGGGGUACUCGAGUGGCGAACGGGUGAGUAACACGUGGGUGAUCUGCCCUGCACUUCGGGAUAAGCCUGGGAAACUGGGUCUAAUACCGGAUAGGACCUCAUUUUGGAUGGUGUGGUGGAAAGUUUUUCGGUGUGGGAUGAGCUCGCGGCCUAUCAGCUUGUUGGUGGGGUAAUGGCCUACCAAGGCGUCGACGGGUAGCCGGCCUGAGAGGGUGUACGGCCACAUUGGGACUGAGAGACGGCCCAGAAUCCUACGGGAGGCAGCAGUGGGGAAUAUUGCACAAUGGGCGCAAGCCUGAUGCAGCGACGCCGCGUGGGGGAUGACGGCCUUCGGGUUGUAAACUCCUUUCGCUAGGGACGAAGCGCAAGUGACGGUACCUGGAGAAGAAGCACCGGCUAACUACGUG